AUUGAGCGCUGGCGGCAGGCUUAACACAUGCAAGUCGAGCGGAGAUGAGGUGCUUGCACCUUAUCUUAGCGGCAGACGGGUGAGUAAUGCUUAGGAAUCUGCCUAUUAGUGGGGGACAACAUUCCGAAAGGAAUGCUAAUACCGCAUACGUCCUACGGGAGAAAGCAGGGGAUCUUCGGACCUUGCGCUAAUAGAUGAGCCUAAGUCGGAUUAGCUAGUUGGUGGGGUAAAGGCCUACCAAGGCGACGAUCUGUAGCGGGUCUGAGAGGAUGAUCCUCCACACUGGGACGGAGACACGGCCCAGACUCCUACGGGAGGCAGCAGUGGGGAAUAUUGGACAAUGGGGGGAACCCUGAUCCAGCCAUGCCGCGUGUGUGAAGAAGGCCUUAUGGUUGUAAAGCACUUUAAGCGAGGAGGAGGCUCUUUUGGUUAAUACCCAAGAUGAGUGGACGUUACUCGCAGAAUAAGCACCGGCUAACUCUGUGCCAGCCGCCGCCGUAAAAC
rnacentral:rRNA from 1 species